AUUGAACGCUGGCGGCAUGCCUUACACAUGCAAGUCGAACGGCAGCACGGACUUCGGUCUGGUGGCGAGUGGCGAACGGGUGAGUAAUGUAUCGGAACGUACCUUUCAGUGGGGGAUAACGUAGCGAAAGUUACGCUAAUACCGCAUAUUCUGUGAGCAGGAAAGCAGGGGAUCGAAAGACCUUGCGCUGAUUGAGCGGCCGAUAUCAGAUUAGCUAGUUGGUGGGGUAAAGGCCUACCAAGGCGACGAUCUGUAGCGGGUCUGAGAGGAUGAUCCGCCACACUGGAACUGAGACACGGUCCAGACUCCUACGGGAGGCAGCAGUGGGGAAUUUUGGACAAUGGGGGCAACCCUGAUCCAGCCAUGCCGCGUGAGUGAAGAAGGCCUUCGGGUUGUAAAGCUCUUUCAGCCGGGAAGAAAUCGCAUAGGCUAAUACCCUGUGUGGAUGACGGUACCGGAAUAAGAAGCACCGGCUAACUACGUG
rnacentral:rRNA from 1 species